UUGCUAGUUUUCAGUAUUCUUGGGUCUAGGAUGACUCAGUGCUUUCCUACGAUGCUUGCUAGAAUGUUCUGAAAUGGUUUGAGGCCUUGACCCAUGCCUUGCUUGAAGCAUGGUCAUAGACAUUUCAGAUGGUU
ensembl:snoRNA